rnacentral:misc_RNA from 1 species
CGAAUUCAAAUCAACAAACCCUAGCGGUAGACCACAGGCCCAGCGAUCAAAACCCUAAUCAGUCCCAAGAAUGGGAGACCAUGGCCCGAGCUUGGCUCAGCGCAUUCCCCGAGGCCAAAGCCGUGAGCACCACCGAGGUCGAGGCUUGGAUCGANGUCUAACCGUGGCUCCUUGCCGGCUGACCUCCAGUCCAUGCCUCGAGCAGACCUCAUUGAUCGCCUCCUUGCAAUUCAAAAUUACAUGAGGUUGCCCAAUCAGGCAACAGAAGUGACUCAGGUUGAUCUUCCGCAUGCUCGAUUUCAACGAACAGAUCAAUGGCUACCGGUUUACUCCUGGUUGGAAUCUUUAGAUAAUGAUGAGGUGGUCAAGUCUAAAGAUAUUUCUGAUUGGUUGACUGAAAAUCCAGAGGUUAAAGAACAGCUAUGCUCCAGGCAUACUCGAUACCAUUUGAUGCACUACAUUAAAAAGUGUCAUUUGAAGAUACUAAAGAGGAGGGAAAGGAAGAAGGGAUUGCAGAAGACUGACAAAUCAACCUCUCCUAAAGUUCAGAAGAUUGUGGAUUCUAAAGCGCCAUCAUCACUUCCAAGAAAUCCUUUGAACAAUAUAACUAAGGAUAGUGACUUAUACUUGGCCAAACAAAAUGAGGCUCUUCGUAAAUAUCAGAUUUUGGUGGAGUUGGAGAAGACGCUUUCCCCUCACUUCUCAAAGCGUCAGGCUGUGCACAAAUGAAGCAAUGAUGAGUUUUCUGCCUAUAUAGAUGUGAAUCAGCUGAGGUGGGGGUUCCUCUUUAUUUUUUCCUGCCUUUUUCCCUUUUUAUAGCCUAAUUAUGAGUCCUUUUAUUAUUAUUAUUAUUUGUAAGUAACUAAGGGUGAUUCUCUUGAAUGUACCACAAGCUUUUGAAAAGACUGAUCUCUUCAUUAGAUAUGACGUUAAGACAUCUGUUGAUGUGAAAAUGUUU